CGCGUAGGCGGUCUGUUAAGUCCGAUGUUAAAGCCCGGGGCUCAACCCCGGCACGGCGUUGGAUACUGGCAGGCUUGACGGCUGGAGAGGCGAGUGGAAUUACCAGUGUAGCGGUGGAAUGCGUAGAUACUGGUAGGAACACCUAUGGCGAAGGCAGCUCGCUGGACAGCACGUGACGCUGAGGCGCGAAAGUGUGGGGAGCAAACC
rnacentral:rRNA from 1 species